GUGUAUUCGUGAGUUCGCGGUUGAACAACUGUUCCUUUACUCUGCUCCCUGUCUUUGUUAUUGUUUAUCGGGGUUGUUUCUGUAGGAAGGUGGGGGUGGUGGGCGUGAGAGACAGACGUGGGCUUGUUUUUCUAGUUGCUGAAUCUGUAUGAAGGCUUUAAAGGGAGAACGUUUUCUUGAUGUGCUUUAGGAGGGAAGGAGGAACAAAUGCCUGCCAGAUCUCACAACUACAGUAGCUGAGCUUUUGUUUAUUUUGAAGCGCAUGCAAUUUUUAAAUACACGGUGCAAGAUAACCAGUAAAGGCGCGUUCCUUCUGAAAAUUGAGGCCGGUCUCAGAACCAUCUCCUGAGAAAGCAUCCUUUCUGAAUGUAGGUGUGUGUGUGAGUGCCCCUGCCAUGAAAUGGUGUCCUGUCCAGGGAUGGUUCCCACCUUGUACCCUAAGCUGCUGGGAUCGGCUCGGGCCACUGCGACCCUGAAUUGGACUAAUUGGGUGCUGACUGGGUUACUUUUUUAAACACUAGGAAUGGUAGUUUCUACUUUUCUGUA
rnacentral:sRNA from 1 species